rnacentral:rRNA from 1 species
UGGGGAAUUUUGGACAAUGGGCGCAAGCCUGAUCCAGCAAUGCCGCGUGUGUGAAGAAGGCCUUCGGGUUGUAAAGCACUUUUGUCUGGAAAGAAAACCUCGUGGUUAAUACCCGUGGGGGAUGACGGUACCGGAAGAAUAAGCACCGGCUAACUACGUGCCAGCAGCCGCGGUAAUACGUAGGGUGCAAGCGUUAAUCGGAAUUACUGGGCGUAAAGCGUGCGCAGGCGGUUCGCUAAGACAGAUGUGAAAUCCCCGGGCUUAACCUGGGAACUGCAUUUGUGACUGGCGGGCUAGAGUAUGGGAGAGGGGGGUAGAAGUCCACGUGUAGCAGUGAAAUGCGUAGAGAUGGGGAGGAAUACCGAUGGCGAAGGCAGCUCCCUGGGCCAAUACUGACGCUCAUGCAAGAAAGCGUGGGGAGCAAACAGG